rnacentral:sRNA from 2 species
AUGUACCUACGUACACGCCGGUUCCUCCGCGCCCUCCGCACCCACCGGACGGCUGCUUGCUCCGUUUUGUUAGUC